AGGUGGAAGAGGCAAUCGCUGUCUUGCAGGCUCACAAGGCAAAAGAGUGUUCUCCAAAAAAGUGAAAUGAUUUAAGGUGUGAACAUUGUUCUAGAGGAGAAAAAGGUUCUAUAUCAAUUUUGGGGGAAAAAGAGCAAAGAAUAAAACUCUUGACAUGUUUAGAAUGAUAGUGAAAUGUUUCUGAAAUUCAAGCUAUUUUGUUGUUGCAGUGACUUUUGUUAGAAGUUAAAGUUUUCAGAAUAUGCAUUAAA